UACGGAGGAUCCGAGCGUUAUCCGGAUUUAUUGGGUUUAAAGGGUGCGCAGGCGGAAGAUUAAGUCGGUGGUGAAAUUUUGCAGCUCAACUGUAAAAGUGCCUUCGAAACUGGUUUCCUUGAGUGUAGAUGAAGUAGGCGGAAUUUGUGGUGUAGCGGUGAAAUGCAUAGAUAUCACGAGGAACUCCGAUUGCGCAGGCAGCUUACUAAACUACUACUGACGCUCAGGCACGAAGGCGUGGGGAUCAAACAGGAUUAGAUACCCCGGUAGUCCCU
rnacentral:rRNA from 1 species